rnacentral:rRNA from 1 species
AAACUGGGAUUAGAUACCCCACUAUGCUAGGCCAUAAACUUAGGACUUUCCCCGCCAGAGUAUUACGAGCCACAGCUUAAAACUCAAAGGACUUGGCGGUGCCUUAUAUCCACCUAGAGGAGCCUGUUCUAUAAUUGAUAGUCCCCAAUAAACCUCACCAUCCCUUGCAAUUUCAGCCUAUAUAUCACCGUCUAUUGCCAACCUUAUCAGGGGAUAAUAGUAGGCUAAAUAAUUUAAAAUUAAAAAGUCAGGUCAAGGUGUAGCAAAUGAGAUGGAAGAAAUGGGCUACAUUUUCUACAAAGAAAACACGAAGAUAUUUCAUGAAAUAAAUAAUGAAGGAGGAUUUAGUAGUAAAAAGAAAAUAGAGUGUUCUUUUUAAAUUGGCAAUAAGGCAAGCACACACCGCCCGUCACCCUCUUAAAUGCUCAAAAAUAAAAUAUAAAUUGUUUUCCUAAAAUAGAGGAAAGUCGUAACAUGGUAAGCGCACA